AUUGAACGCUGGCGGCAGGCCUAACACAUGCAAGUCGAACGAGUGGCGGACGGGUGAGUAAAGUCUGGGAAACUGCCUGAUGGAGGGGGAUAACUACUGUAAACGGUAGCUAAUACCGCAUACCAUCGGAUGUACCCAGAUGGGAUUAGCUAGUAGGUGGGGUAAAGGCGCACCAAGGGGACGAUCCCUAGCUGGGCUGAGAGGAUGACAAGCCACACGGGAAAGGAGACACGGGCCAGACGCCUACGGGAGGCAGCAGUGGGGAAUAUUGCAAAAUGGGCGAAAGCCUGAUGCAGCCAUGCCGCGUGUAUGAAGAAGGCCUUCGGGUUGUAAAGUACUUUCAGCGGGGAGGCGUUACCCGCAGAAGAAGAACCGGCUAACUCCGUGCCAGCAGCCGCGGUAAUAC
rnacentral:rRNA from 1 species